CCAGGGGAGCUUUGACAACCACAGAAUUUGAGAUGGCUGGUAAUCGUUCUCAGAACAUAAAACACAAAGCUGGACUGUAGUGGAACAAUCACAGUUCACUGCAGCAUCGGCCUCCUGGGCUCAAGUGAUCUUACUGCCUCAGCUUCCCGAGUAGCUGGAACUAUGGGUGAGCAACACCACAGCCAGCUAAUUUUUUAAGUUUUUGUAGAGACGGGGUCUUGCUGUGUUGCACAGGCUGGUCUCAAACUCUGGCUUCAAGUGAUCCUUCCACCUCAGCCUCCCAAAGUGCUGAGAUUACAGGUGUGAGCCACUGCCCCAAUGGUAUCUUUAUAUUAUUUUUCCUUACAAGUUACUUCAAAUUCUUGAUGUUGAAUUUCAUCUCACUGACUUCAGGCUUUUAAAACACAUGGGAAUACUUGAGACCUAAGAAUGGUUGUGAGUCAAAUAAAAAAGUAGAACUAAA
ensembl:lncRNA DNAJC9-AS1 DNAJC9 and MRPS16 antisense RNA 1